rnacentral:misc_RNA from 1 species
GAUGAAGAACGUAGCGAAAUGCGAUAAGUAAUGUGAAUUGCAGAAUUCAGUGAAUCAUCGAAUCUUUGAACGCACAUUGCGCCCGCCAGCAUUCUGGCGGGCAUGCCUGUUCGAGCGUCAUUUCAACCCUCGACUUCCCUUUGGGGAAAUCGGCGUUGGGGACCGGCUGUAUACCGCCGGCCCCGAAAUGAAGUGGCGGCCCGUCCGCGGCGACCUCUGCGUAGUAAUCCAACUCGCACCGGAACCCCGACGUGGCCACGCCGUAAAACCCCCGACUUCUGAACGUUGACCUCGGAUCAGGUAGGAAUACCCGCUGAACUUAAGCAUAUCAAUAGCGGAGGA